rnacentral:misc_RNA from 1 species
GAUGAAGAACGUAGCGAAAUGCGAUACUUGGUGUGAAUUGCAGAAUCCCGUGAACCAUCGAGUCUUUGAACGCAAGUUGCACCUCAAGCCAUUAGGUUGAGGGCACGUCUGCCUGGGCGUCACAUAUCGUUGCCUGAUGCCAGUUUCCUCGUGAUGGGUGACUGUGCAGGGCGAAUGAUGGCUUCCCGUGAGCAUUGUUGCCUCAUGGUUGGUUGAAAAUUGAGUCCUUGGUAGGGAGCGCCGUGAUAGAUGGUGGUUGAGUGACGAACGAGACCCAAUCAUGUGAGACCCCUACCGAAUUUGGCCUUCAUGACCCACAUGCGUCUUUGGAACGCUCAUGACGAGACCUCAGGUCAGGCGGGGCUACCCGCUGAGUUUAAGCAUAUCAAUAAGCGGAGGA